CAAUGGUGAUCUAAAUUACGUAUCAGUGCCAUGUCCUUGCUCUGACCUGUGAAUGGCAUCAAGGAUUCAUCACCUUCAGUAGAUAUCUCCCUGAUGAUUCCAGGAGAUCUCUCGAUGAUGCCCUCGAAUGCUUUCAGGAGAUUUCUGAUCACAGGUGGGUGCGAAAUCUCUAGAUUUCUAGAAUUUAUAUUUGAUGUAAUUUUAUUUCCUUUCUGAUGCUCUCGAAUUAUGGGCGGUGAUGAUGCCAUGAAGUAUGGUGCGGUGAUGGAAUGUAAUCCCUGUAAUUCUUGUUCCAUGUGAUUCUUGUUGCCUGAUGGUACCCUGAAAGUAUGGUGCAGUGAUGGAAUGUAAUCCCACGAAUUAUGGUCGGUGAUGGUGGACAACAUUUAUGGCACGGUGAUGGUUGUCAGAAAAUUUGUAAUCCCUUGAAUUAUGGUCA